GUGGGCAUAGUUUAAACCAAAACAUCAGACUGUGAACCUGAAAAUAGAAAUUCACCCCUCUUGCCCACC
rnacentral:tRNA from 1 species